AACGGGAUUUAGUAAACAGAAGCCUCGGUGGAAGAUUACUAAUGAGAGUGGCGAACGGGUGAGUAACGCGUGAGCAACCUGCCUAUGACAGUGGGAUAGCCUCGGGAAACCGGGAUUAAUACCGCAUAAAAUCGUAGAAACACAUGUUUUAACGGUCAAAGAUUUAUCGGUCAUAGAUGGGCUCGCGUCUGAUUAGCUAGUUGGUGAGAUAACAGCCCACCAAGGCGACGAUCAGUAGCCGGUCUGAGAGGAUGAACGGCCACAUUGGAACUGAGACACGGUCCAGACUCCUACGGGAGGCAGCAGUGGGGAAUAUUGCACAAUGGGGGAAACCCUGAUGCAGCGACGCCGCGUGAACGAAGAAGGUAUUCGUAUCGUAAAGUUCUGUCCUAUGGGAAGAUAAUGACAGUACCAUAGAAGAAAGCUCCGGCUAAAUACGUGCCAGCAGCCGCGGUAAUACGUAUGGAGCGAGCGUUGUCCGGAAUUAUUGGGCGUAAAGGGUACGCAGGCGGUUUAAUAAGUCGAAUGUUAAAGAUCGGGGCUCAACCCCGUAAAGCAUUGGAAACUGAUAAACUUGAGUAGUGGAGAGGAAAGUGGAAUUCCUAGUGUAGUGGUGAAAUACG
rnacentral:rRNA from 1 species